AGUGAACGUUGGCGGCGUGGAUUAGGCAUGCAAGUCGAGCGAGAACCGUAGCAAUACGGGGACAGCGGCGAAAGGGACAGUAAUGUGUAGGUACCUACCCCGAGGUCUGGAUAGCUGCGGGAAACUGCAGGUAAUACCGGAUAAUGUCUUCGGACCAAAGGUGUGAUUCCACCUUGGGAGGGGCCUGCAUCCUAUUAGCUAGUUGGCGGGGUAAUGACCCACCAAGGCGACGAUGGGUAGCGGGUGUGAGAGCACGACCCGCGUCAUUGGGGCUGAGACACUGCCCAGACACAUACGGGUGGCUGCAGUCGAGGAUCUUCGGCAAUGGGCGAAAGCCUGACCGAGCGAUGCCGCGUGCGGGAUGAAGGCCUUCGGGUUGUAAACCGCUGUCGUAGAGGAGGAAAUGCAGGUGGGUUCUCCCAUCUGUUUGACCUAUUCUAGGAGGAAGUACGGGCUAAGUUCGUGCCAGCCGCCGCAGUAA
rnacentral:rRNA from 1 species